rnacentral:rRNA from 1 species
AACGUAGGUGGCGAGCGUUAUCCGGAUUUACUGGGCGUAAAGGGUGUGCAGGCUGCCCCUCAAGUGGUGUAUGAAAGGGCUCGGCUCAACCGGGCUAGGUUAUGCCAGACUGAGGGGCUAGAGAGCGAGAGCGGGACGUGGAAUUCCGGGUGUAGUGGUGAAAUGCGUAGAUAUCGGGAGGAACACCAGUGGCGAAGGCGACUUCCUGGCCUGUUCUUGACGCUGAGGCGCGAAAGCUAGGGUAGCAAACGGG